AUGCUUAGAAGCAGGAAUCAAGUAGAAACAUCACAGACAGGGAAGAUGGAGGACUCAGAAUACAGCGUGAAGCCAUUUAUUGAGUCAUUUUUCAACAGUUUGACACCAGUACAGUUUGAACUGUUGCGAAAUGGCUCCCCAGACAGCACCACCAAAGUGCUGUUGGUCGACAUGAUAUUAAAAAUAGUCACGGUCUUCACAAAAGCCAUGCUCAACUAUCCAAACGUGCCUGAAGUCAAGGCCGUUGUGGGUGACACUGUGAUGCAAGGCUUCAAAGAUGUCCUGGAAGUUGAAGGCGAGAUCAAGGAUCAUCACGCAGACAUGGUCACGGUCUUCACAAAAGCCAUGCUCAAGAAUCCAAGGAACAGAAAAAUGCCUAAAGUCAAGGCUGUUGUGGGUGACGCUGUGAUUCAAGGCUUCAAAGAUGUCCUGGAAGUCAAAGGCAAGAUUAAGGAUCAUAGCGCAAAAAUGUUUAGUAGCAUGAUCAAUGACGAGGUUAGAGUCAGAGUCAAUUCUAACACCUCUAUUGCCUUGCUGUUUGGGGACAUUGCUCCACCCACAAGACUAAACCAAAUGAUUAAUCAUGCCGCAAAAAUGAUCAAAAGUUUUACAGCAAAGAUGAAUCGGAAAUUCACAAUUCCAGAACGAAGACAGAGAACCACUUUCAGAGACAGGCUGGUGUCGGACCUGAGUGGGACAGAUGACGAGUCUCCAGGAACCUCAGACGCUGUUGAGAAACACAAGAAUGUCCCAUCGGGCGGCCAGACUGAUACGGAAAGCAUUCAAUCUCCGGAAGCAGUAAUUGUGAGGGAGGUGAAUGAGACCAUGCUUCCUUUCCUGGACAACAUGUCAGACGCUAACUUUCAGAACUUGCAUUUCAACAGCCCCUUGGAAACAACUGUUCCUCGGGGAGUUCUCGAAGAACUGCAGGAAUCGGAGGGGACAGACAAGAAAGCACAAGGAAGCAGUGUCAAGGGCUUUUUUACACUGCACUUUAGUAAAACAUGGCUAAAUCGCAUACUGGAUCAAAUGAAAAGAAAAUUCAGGAAGGACAUGGAAUGCAGCCCUGUAUUGAUGAAGGACAUAGAGCACAUCCUCCCCAAGCUGCUGACAUUGGAUGAUGACGAAGCACAAUUUGGAAAACAGAAGUGUAUGCCUCCAAUGUUGAAGGUAAUUCCAAAAAGCAAAUCCCUGGUCAUCACACGGGAGCUGACCAACGUGCUCUUCCAACGGAUGAUGGGCAGUUUGCCGCCCAAGCACGUCUCAGGACCAAGGAGAAAUGAGGGUUCUGACGGCACCAUGAGCGCAUCUUGGGCAAAUGCUCACAUGUACGAUGAGAUAUGGUACAGCGUGUGGAACUUCAUGGGGCUGUUGCGGUGGUGGCUGAAAACUCAGGUCGACCCACUGGCUCAGAGGAUGAGAAGUGCUUUGGUAAACAGGUUGACACCAAGAAGAAAUCAAGUAGAAACAUCACAGACAGGGAAGAUGGAGGACUCAGAAUACAGUGUGAAGCCAUUUAUUGAGUCCUUUUUCAACAGUUUGACACCAGUACAGUUUGAACUGUUGCGAAAUGGCUCCCCAGACAGCACCACCAAAGUGCUGUUGGACGACAUGAUAUUAAAAAUGGUCACGGUCUUCACAGAAGCCAGACUCAACAAUUUAAGGACCAGAAACAUGUCUGAAGUCAGGGCCGUUGUGGGUGACACUGUGGUGCAAGGCUUCAAAGAUGUCCUGGAAGUCAAAGGCCAGAUCAAGGAUCAUAGCGCAGAAAUGUUUACUACCAUGAUCAAUGACGAAGUUAGAGUCAGAGUCAAUUCUGACACCUCUAAUGCCUUACUGUCUGGGGACAUCACUCCACCUACAAGACUCAACCAAAUGCUUAAUCAUGCCACAAAAAUGAUGAAAAGGUUUAAAACAAAGCUGAAAUUCACAAUUUGA
ensembl:lncRNA